rnacentral:rRNA from 1 species
GUUUGAUCCUGGCUCAGAACGAACGUUAGCGGCGCGCCUAACACAUGCAAGUCGAGCGAGAAAGGGCUUCGGCCCCGGUAAAGCGGCGCACGGGUGAGUAACACGUAGGCAAUCUGCCUCGAGGUGGUGGAUAACCCUCCGAAAGGAGGGCUAAUACAGCAUGAGACCACGUCGUCGAAAGACGAUGCGGCCAAAGCCGGCCUCUUCAUGAAAGCUGGCGCCACGAGAUGAGCCUGCGGCCCAUCAGCUAGUUGGUAGGGUAACGGCCUACCAAGGCAAAGACGGGUAGCUGGUCUGAGAGGAUGAUCAGCCACACUGGAACUGAGACACGGUCCAGACUCCUACGGGAGGCAGCAGUGGGGAAUCUUGCGCAAUGGGCGAAAGCCUGACGCAGCGACGCCGCGUGAGCGAUGAAGGCCUCGGUUGUAAGACUCUGUGGAGGGGGACGGAAGUAAGGGACGACGC